GACGAACGCUGGCGGCGUGCUUAACACAUGCAAGUCGAACGGAAAGGCCCUGCUUGCCGGGUACUCGAGUGGCGAACGGGUGAGUAACACGUGGGUGAUCUGCCCUGCACUUCGGGAUAAGCCUGGGAAACUGGGUCUAAUACCGGAUAGGAGCCAUUUUUAGUGUGAUGGUUGGAAAGUUUUUUCGGUGUAGGAUGAGCUCGCGGCCUAUCAGCUUGUUGGUGGGGUAAUGGCCUACCAAGGCGGCGACGGGUAGCCGGCCUGAGAGGGUGGACGGCCACAUUGGGACUGAGAUACGGCCCAGACUCCUACGGGAGGCAGCAGUGGGGAAUAUUGCACAAUGGGCGCAAGCCUGAUGCAGCGACGCCGCGGGGGGGAGGACGGCCUUCGGGUUGUAAACUCCGUUCGCUAGGGACGAAGCUUUUUGUGACGGUACCUAGAUAAGAAGCACCGGCUAACUACGUG
rnacentral:rRNA from 1 species